rnacentral:rRNA from 1 species
ACUGCUCAGUAACACGUGGAUAACCUGCCCUUGGGUCCGGCAUAACCCCGGGAAACUGGGGAUAAUUCCGGAUAACGCACAUAUGCUGGAAUGCUUUAUGCGUAAAAUGGAUUCGUCUGCCCAAGGAUGGGUCUGCGGCCUAUCAGGUAGUAGUGGGUGUAAUGUACCUACUAGCCAACAACGGGUACGGGUUGUGAGAGCAAGAGCCCGGAGAUGGAUUCUGAGACAUGAAUCCAGGCCCUACGGGGCGCAGCAGGCGCGAAAACUUUACAAUGCGGGAAACCGUGAUAAGGGGACACCGAGUGCCAGCAUCAUAUGCUGGCUGUCCAGGUGUGUAAAAUACACCUGUCAGCAAGGGCCGGGCAAGACCGGUGCCAGCCGCCGCGGUAACACCGGCGGCCCGAGUGGUGAUCGUGAUUAUUGGGUCUAAAGGGUCCGUAGCCGGUUUGGUCAGUCCUCCGGGAAAUCUGACGGCUCAACCGUUAGGCUUUCGGGGGAUACUGCCAGGCUUGGAACCGGGAGAGGUAAGAGGUACUACAGGGGUAGGAGUGAAAUCUUGUAAUCCCUGUGGGACCACCUGUGGCGAAGGCGUCUUACCAGAACGGGUUCGACGGUGAGGGACGAAAGCUGGGGGCACGAACCGGAUUAGAUACCCGGGUAGUCCCAGCCGUAAACGAUGCUCGCUAGGUGUCAGGCAUGGCGCGACCGUGUCUGGUGCCGCAGGGAAGCCGUGAAGCGAGCCACCUGGGAAGUACGGCCGCAAGGCUGAAACUUAAAGGAAUUGGCGGGGGAGCAC